rnacentral:rRNA from 1 species
GAUCAUGGCUCAGGACGAACGCUGGCGGCGUGCCUAACACAUGCAAGUCGAGCGAUGAAGCCCUUCGGGGUGGAUUAGCGGCGGACGGGUGAGUAACACGUGGGUAACCUGCCUCAAAGAGGGGGAUAGCCUCCCGAAAGGGAGAUUAAUACCGCAUAACAUUAGUUUUUCGCAUGGAGGACUAAUUAAAGGAGCAAUCCGCUUUGAGAUGGACCCGCGGCGCAUUAGCUAGUUGGUGAGGUAAAGGCUCACCAAGGCGACGAUGCGUAGCCGACCUGAGAGGGUGAUCGGCCACAUUGGAACUGAGACACGGUCCAGACUCCUACGGGAGGCAGCAGUGGGGAAUAUUGCACAAUGGGCGAAAGCCUGAAUGCAGCAACGCCGCGUGAGUGAUGAAGGCCUUCGGGUUGUAAAGCUCUGUCUUUUGGGACGAUAAUGACGGUACCAAAGGAGGAAGCCACGGCUAACUACGUGCCAGCCGCCGC